rnacentral:rRNA from 1 species
CACGUAGGGUGCGAGCGUUGUCCGGAAUUAUUGGGCGUAAAGAGCUCAUAGGCGGUGUGUCGCGUCGGCCGUGAAAACCUGCAGCUUAACUGUGGGCUUGCGGUCGAUACGGGCAUCACUGGAGUUCGGCAGGGGAGACUGGAAUUCCUGGUGUAGCGGUGAAAUGCGCAGAUAUCAGGAGGAACACCGGUGGCGAAGGCGGGUCUCUGGGCCGAUACUGACGCUGAGGAGCGAAAGCGUGGGGAGCGAACAGG